ensembl:miRNA aca-mir-30b aca-mir-30b
UACUGAUUUUUAGUUCAUGUAAACAUCCUACACUCAGCUGUAUCACAUGAAAUGGCUGGGAGAUGAAUGUUUACUUCAACUGAUUUGG